AUGGAGAACCAGUCAGGUCAAGCUCCGGACGGCAUGGCCGAUCAAAGAUUUCGCAGCUGGCUGACAGAACAACUUAAUAUGCAGCAGCAGAAUGCCGGUUGUUCUUCCAACCAAGCACCAGCAGUAAUACAGAUGCCAGCUCUGCCAUCUCACACAGAUUAUGGUGGCAUAUAUCCAAAGCCAACUGAAUAUGAUGGCUACAACUGGAGGAUAUGUGGGCAGAAAGUAGUUCAGGGUGGGUGCCAUCAGAAAUUCUACUAUGAAUGUGCUCAUGCAAACUGCGGUGCCGAGAAAUCCGUGACGCGCUCCGCAGAUGGACAGAUCAAGAAAACAGUAUGUAAGGGCAGUCACAACCAUCCACGCUCAUCAGAAAGGGUGUUUGGUGAUGGUUCAGCUACUCUGGAUGCAAUCCCUGUAGGUGAGAUAUUACAAGCAGCAGGGGUUAUCAGGCCUUCAGUUGCAAUGCCUAGGAAUGAGGAGGAAGAUGAGCUACAAUCUGGUUCGAGUGACAGCGAGGAAGAUGAUGCUAGUGAAGCAAGAGUUGACGGUGAUGGUGCUGGUGCUGAUGCCAAUGCAAUAGAAAGACAUGGUGCAGCUCAAGAGAUCACUGCUCAAACUGCAACUGAGGUUGAUGUUACGGGUAACGACUGUCAGCAGCGUAAGAAUUAUUGCCGAAGGACGGCGGUGGCAGGGCUUCUCGCCGACCACGCAUCGGGCGGGCAAGGGAGUCGUCCACGGCGGGGCGGCGGUGACCGCCAUAUCCAGGCCGCUCCGGCCGGAUUUGGUGGGAUGGCGACUGGCAACGGCAGGGAGGGCGAUGGCGAAGGCAAGGGCACGCGGCGCCGGGCGGUGGUGGUUGAAGGCGGCAGGGAUGGCAUCGACCGAGGACGCGAAGGCGGCGGCGGUGGUCCCUGCAACCGGAUGUGUCGGCUCGUGGCGGCGACAGCGGCGGUGUCCCCCAGAUCCACGCCUCUCGGCCGGAUCUGGAGGGUGGCCGGCGGUGGUGGUCGGCUGGCGACGGCAAUUGGCGACAACGGCGGUAGUGGUGGUCGCGGGCAUUGUCGUGCUGUCUCACCCCUCAAGGGUGGUUGCCGGGUGAAAGCCCGGUCUUGUCUUGGCUCCUUUGAGUCCCGACGGAUGGCGGCGGCGGUUUUUCCGUCGCUUCUCUUCUUGAAGAUGUCGUUUUGGCAUCCCCUAGGGGGCGAUCUCUGGCGGUCGGUCACGCUUAGCAGCGGCCGGUCCGGUGCUAGCCUUCUCCUGGGCUUUGGAAAUAGAAGAUCGAAGUCCAAGGUGUGGGAGGAAUUUACUGCUGUGUUUAGUGGUGGAAAAAUUCAAAAUGCAGAAUGUAAACAUUGCAAAAAGUGCCUUAGUGGAAAAACUUCUGGAGGAACAAGCCAUCUGCUCCGACAUCUGAAGAUAUGUCCUGCACAAUGUAGAAACACUAGAGUGCAGCAAAACUGGUCAUCUUCAAGACUUGAUUCAUCUGCUGCAAAUAAUUGGAAAUUUCAUCAAGAAACAUCUCUUGAAUUGCUUACCAGGGCUUUAGUGUCCAACCUUUGCCCAUUUUCAGUAACAAGCGGUGCAAAUUUUAGGAAGUUUUUGACUGGCAUCUCUCCUGCAUAUAGUAUUGUGCCCCAGGCUUCUGUUGAAGCGAAGUUUCUCAGCAUUUUUCAGAAUGAAAGGGUGAAGCUAAAAGAGGCAAUAGCACUUACACCAGGAGGAGUUUUCCUGUCGGUAACAAGGUGGGAACUUGAAUUGAAAUACUUCCUCUGUUUCACAGUACAUUUUAUUGACAAAGAAUGGAAGAUGAAUAGGAAAGUCAUUAGGUGCGCCUGUUCUGGAAUUGAUGUCUGUGAAGCUGAGCACUACCUCAGUGUUCUUCCCAACUGGAAAUCUUACUCGAAUAUAAGAAUGGCAAAAUAUGUACUAGGUGGUACUGUAAAGACUAACAAGGCUCUAAUAAAAGAAGCAGCCCAAGAUUGGAAUCUUGAGAAGAAGCUUUUAGGAAUUGCAUUCCCAAUGUUUUUAGGUAAUGAAGUUAUAUUGGACCUGGAGGAGACUAUGAUAGGAAUUGGAGCAGCACAGAAUUAUCUUCUUGCUAAAUAUAAGUUAUUAACUGUGCCUUGUAUGAUAGAUGCGCUUCAUGGCUUGUUUGAUUAUAGUCUUGAAAAAUUCGUCCUUGAAACAAGUCGGGAAUGGUUUGCGUACAUGACAUGCUCUGCACUUCGUCUGGAAAAGUACAAGGAAAUUCUGUCCCGGCUGCACCUAAACCGACCCUCUUUUGGUUCAAAACAGUGGUACCUGACCUUCUACUUAUUUGAGGCUACUUUGCAGUUUAAUAAAGAACUACCAAACCCUGAAGAGAUGGAUUUGCAAAACUAUCCACCGAAACCAUCUCUUCAAAGUCUAGAAGCAGCAAAAAACUUUUGUGAUCUUGCAAGGCCAAUAUACCAUGCUGUUGAU
rnacentral:lncRNA from 1 species